rnacentral:rRNA from 1 species
GCUUGCACAUCGCUGACGAGUGGCGGACGGGUGAGUAAUGCUUGGGAACUUGCCUUUGCGAGGGGGAUAACAGUUGGAAACGACUGCUAAUACCGCAUAAUGUUUUCGAACCAAACGGGGCUUCGGCUCCGGCGCAAAGAGAGGCCCAAGUGAGAUUAGCUAGUUGGUGAGGUAAGGCUCACCAAGGCGACGAUCUCUAGCUGUUCUGAGAGGAAGAUCAGCCACACUGGGACUGAGACACGGCCCAGACUCCUACGGAGGGCAGCAGUGAGGAAUCUUGCGCAAUGGGCGAAAGCCUGACGCAGCCACGCCGCGUGUCGGAAGACGGCCCUAUGGGUUGUAAACGACUUUUAUUGGGGAAGAACAGGGGGGUUUCGAUCUCGUAUGACGGUACCUGAUGAGUAAGCACCGGCUAACUCCGUGCCAGCAGCCGCGGUAAUACGGAGGGUGCAAGCGUUGUCCGGAAUCAUUGGGUGUAAAGGGUGCGUAGGCGGAUGUUUAAGUCUGAGGUGAAAUCUUGCCGCUUAACGGUAAAAUGGCCUUAGAUACUGGAUAUCUUGAGU